CUUAAAAGCCACAGCCAAAAUAUACAAAAAAUGGGCUAGCACUCCCGGUCUUGUAGUAAAAAGAAAAUCUUUAUUAAGUGUUUUUGCAUAGCAAGACCACUUAAUAUUAUCUCACAUAUAUAUUAUUCUUCUUAUUAUAGCCAAAUUUACCACCCUAACUCCUCCCACAGUUUUUACACUACAUAGACCGUAAUAUACCGAAACAUGCAGAUUGUUCCCGAUCGGAUUGCUAUUACUUUGUGGAACGUUUCGCCGAAUGGUUCAUGAAAUAUCAUCGUUUUUUUGGGCGAAACUGGUCCCAUAGGAAUGAAUGGCAAAAUGUUCAAAACUAGAGUGGGAGCUGUCAAAAGUUGAAAAAUCAGGACAUGAUUUCUAAACUGCCACCACUCCCUCAUUUCCAAGCCCACCUACACAAAUCUUAUAUCAAAACGUUCAGCUAUCCCUGCUGCCACUAAACAUGUAAACGGCUAAGCCAUAGUCCUGAUUGUUUUCACAAUAUGACCAUUUGUUUGCAAUUCACACCGUCCAUUGACUUUCUUUGAAACUCCACUCUAGCCAGCUCAAAUUUGAAGGGCAAUUUCUAAACUGUGACUGUGCCUUCAUUUUUAAAACUUCAGAGACAUACAAAAUGUAGGUCUGUGUCUUGUGAUUCUCACAAUUUAAAGCUCUUCGCUGUAGGAUUUAUAGUUUUUAAACUACGACCGUUUGAAGAUGGCAACCGCCAGUGAAGUGAGCAAUUUGGAGCAGUUUGUUUUUAACCGCUCUUCUCUGCCUUAUUUGGAAUCUAUUAGUUCCUGUUGGCAGUUGGUGGAAUGUUCGAGGGAUUUGAAAGCUCUUCUCUGCCCUAUUUGGAAUCUAUUAGUUCCUGUUGGCAGUUGGUGGAAUGUUCGAGGGAUUUGAAAGCUCUUCUCUGACCUAUUUGGAAUCUAUUAUUUUCUUUUCGCAGUUGGUGGAAUGUUCGAGGGAUUUGAAAGUUGUUCUCUGCCCUUGCUGUAGAGUGAGUGAACCACACUCCAACCUUUCAACAGUUACUCCAGCCACUCCAACCACAUAACAGUUACUCAAGCCACUCCACCCAGUUACUCCGCCCACUUCAGUUGUAGACUACUGGUGGAGGCAAGAACACUUCACACAAUUUCCCCAGAAAUUGUAGCUUUUCUAGUUAUUCCAUAAAAUCGACUUUUCAGCCCAUGUCCGGGGGUUUCCUCAGGAUCAACAAACAACAACAUACUGGCAUAACAUGCUGUAAAAUAUAGCCCAUAAGAAGAAAGAAAUUGAACUCAAUGCAGGUGAGGUCUGUGGCAAACCUAGCCACUUGGGACUGCCUAAGAUAGAAUGGUUGUGCCUAUUUUCUGUUGUGUACCGGUAUAGUGUGGCGUCUCCGGCUAUGUUUAAUUUAUGCUGUACUGUGUAUGUCUGUUCGAAUCCUCCCCAUUCGUUAGCAUUGCUAUUAAAACUGACUAAGUUGUAUAUUUUGAAGUUGAAAGGUAACGGUUUAUGUCCUCGUAGUUUUCAUUACUGUAUGUUACAGCAGGG